UACGUAGGGCGCAAGCGUUGUCCGGAAUUAUUGGGCGUAAAGAGCUCGUAGGCGGCUUGUCACGUCGAUUGUGAAAGCCCGAGGCUUAACCUCGGGUCUGCAGUCGAUACGGGGCUAGCUAGAGUGUGGUAGGGGAGAAUGGAAUUCCCGGUGUAGCGGUGAAAUGCGCAGAUAUCGGGAGGAACACCGGUGGCGAAGGCGGUUCUCUGGGCCUGACCUGACGCUGAGGAGCGAAAGCGUGGGGAGCGAACAGG
rnacentral:rRNA from 1 species